rnacentral:rRNA from 1 species
AGCAGUAGGGAAUCUUCCACAAUGGACGCAAGUCUGAUGGAGCAACGCCGCGUGAGUGAAGAAGGCUUUCGGGUCGUAAAACUCUGUUGUUGGAGAAGAAUGGUCGGCAGAGUAACUGUUGUCGGCGUGACGGUAUCCAACCAGAAAGCCACGGCUAACUACGUGCCAGCAGCCGCGGUAAUACGUAGGUGGCAAGCGUUAUCCGGAUUUAUUGGGCGUAAAGCGAGCGCAGGCGGUUUUUUAAGUCUGAUGUGAAAGCCCUCGGCUUAACCGAGGAAGUGCAUCGGAAACUGGGAAACUUGAGUGCAGAAGAGG